rnacentral:rRNA from 1 species
UACCUGGUUGAUCCUGCCAGUAAUCAUAUGCUUGUCUCAAAGAUUAAGCCAUGCAUGUCUAAGUACAUGCCGAAAUAAGGCGAAACCGCGAAUGGCUCAUUAAAUCAGUUAUGGUUCCUUAGAUCGUUUCUUCCUACUUGGAUAACUGUGGCAAUUCUAGAGCUAAUACAUGCAGUGAGCCUGAAGCCCUUUGGGCGACGGGUGCUUUUAUUAGACCAAGAUCGAUCGGGUUUCGGCCCGUAUUGUGUGGUGACUCUGGAUAACUUUGUGCUGAUCGCAUGGCCACGAGCCGGCGACGUUUCUUUCAAGUGUCUGCCUUAUCAACUUUCGAUGGUAGGUUACUUGCUUACCAUGGUUGUUACGGGUAACGGAGAAUCAGGGUUCGAUUCCGGAGAGGGAGCCUGAGAAACGGCUACCACAUCCAAGGAAGGCAGCAGGCGCGCAAAUUACCCACUCCCGGCACGGGGAGGUAGUGACGAAAAAUAACAAUACGGGACUCUUUUGAGGCCCCGUAAUUGAAAUGAGUACACUCUAAAUCCUUUAACGAGGAUCAAUUGGAGGGCAAGUCUGGUGCCAGCAGCCGCGGUAAUUCCAGCUCCAAUAGCGUAUACUAAAGCUGCUGCGGUUAAAAAGCUCGUAGUUGGAUCUCAGUUCCAGACGAGUAGUGCAUCUACCCGAUGCGACGGCUCGGACUGAACAUCAUGCCGGUCCUUUCGGUCCUUUCUUGGUGCACUUCAUGUGUGCCUCGAGAAGGCCGGUGCUUUUACUUUGAAAAAAUUAGAGUGCUCAACGCAGGCGAGUCGCCUGAAUAAACUUGCAUGGAAUAAUAGAACAAGACCUCGUUUCUGUUCUGUUGGUUUUUGGAAUACGAGGUAAUGAUUAAGAGGGACAGACGGGGGCAUUCGUAUUGCGGCGCUAGAGGUGAAAUUCUUGGACCGUCGCAAGACGAACUACUGCGAAAGCAUUUGCCAAGAAUGUUUUCUUUGAUCAAGAACGAAAGUCAGAGGUUCGAAGGCGAUCAGAUACCGCCCUAGUUCUGACCAUAAACGAUGCCAACCAGCGAUCCGCCUGAGUUACUCAAAUGACUCGGCGGGCAGCUUCCGGGAAACCAAAGUGUUUGGGUUCCGGGGGAAGUAUGGUUGCAAAGCUGAAACUUAAAGGAAUUGACGGAAGGGCACCACCAGGAGUGGAGCCUGCGGCUUAAUUUGACUCAACACGGGAAAACUUACCCGGCCCGGACACUGGGAGGAUUGACAGAUUGAGAGCUCUUUCUUGAUUCGGUGGAUGGUGGUGCAUGGCCGUUCUUAGUUGGUGGAGCGAUUUGUCUGGUUAAUUCCGAUAACGAACGAGACUCUAGCCUAUUAAAUAGGUGCGGGGUUCCCAGCACCUUACAACCUUCUUAGAGGGACAAGCGGCUCCUAGCCGCACGAAACAGAGCAAUAACAGGUCUGUGAUGCCCUUAGAUGUCCGGGGCCGCACGCGCGCUACACUGAAGGAAGCAGCGUGUCUUUAUCCCUGUCUGAAAAGACUGGGUAACCCGUGGAACUUCUUUCGUGAUUGGGAUAGGGGCUUGCAAUUGUUCCCCUUGAACGAGGAAUUCCCAGUAAGCGCGAGUCAUAAGCUCGCGUUGAUUACGUCCCUGCCCUUUGUACACACCGCCCGUCGCUACUACCGAUUGAAUGAUUUAGUGAGGUCUUCGGACCGAUGUCCGGCGCGGCCUUUCGGUUGCGCCGGUCUGUUGGAAAGAUGACCAAACUUGAUCAUUUAGAGGAAGUAAAAGUCGUAACAAGGUUUCCGUAGGUGAACCUGCGGAAGGAUCAUUA